GACGAGGGGUCCUAGCGUUGUUCGGAAUCACUGGGCGUAAAGCGUAUGUAGGCGGCCUUUCAAGUCAGGUGUGAAAUCCCAUGGCUUAACCAUGGAACUGCAUUUGAAACUGUAAGGCUUGAGUAUUGGAGAGGAUGGUAGAAUUCCUGGUGUAGUGGUGAAAUACGUAGAUAUCAGGAGGAAUACCGGUGGCGAAAGCAGGCUUCUGGGCCGUCACUGACGCUGAUCUGCGAAAGCUAGGGGAGCAAACAGG
rnacentral:rRNA from 1 species